UGGGGAAUAUUGCACAAUGGGCGCAAGCCUGAUGCAGCGACGCCGCGUGAGGGAUGACGGCCUUCGGGUUGUAAACCUCUUUCAGCAGGGACGAAGCGCAAGUGACGGUACCUGCAGAAGAAGCACCGGCUAACUACGUGCCAGCAGCCGCGGUAAUACGUAGGGUGCAAGCGUUGUCCGGAUUUAUUGGGCGUAAAGAGCUCGUAGGCGGUUUGUCGCGUCGGAUGUGAAAACCAGCAGCUUAACUGCUGGCCUGCAUUCGAUACGGGCAGACUUGAGGACGGUAGGGGAGACUGGAACUCCUGGUGUAGCGGUGGAAUGCGCAGAUAUCAGGAAGAACACCGGUGGCGAAGGCGGGUCUCUGGGCCGUUCCUGACGCUGAGGAGCGAAAGCGUGGGUAGCAAACAGG
rnacentral:rRNA from 1 species